rnacentral:rRNA from 1 species
UACAGAGGUCUCAAGCGUUGUUCGGAUUCAUUGGGCGUAAAGGGUGUGUAGGUGGCGCGCUAAGUCGGGUGUGAAAUUUCGGAGCUUAACUCCGAAACUGCAUUCGAUACUGGCGUGCUUGAGGACUGGAGAGGAGACUGGAAUUCAUGGUGUAGCAGUGAAAUGCGUAGAGAUCAUGAGGAAGACCAGUGGCGAAGGCGGGUCUCUGGACAGUUCCUGACACUGAGACACGAAGGCUAGGGGGAGCAAACGGG